rnacentral:rRNA from 1 species
UAGAAGUUUGAUCUUGGUUUAGGACGAACGCUGGCGGCGUGCUUAACACAUGCAAGUCGAACGGAAAGGCCCUUGCUUGCAGGGGUACUCGAGUGGCGAACGGGUGAGUAACACGUGGGUGAUCUGCCCUGUACUUCGGGAUAAGCCUGGGAAACUGGGUCUAAUACCGGAUAGGACUGCAUCGAUUGGUGGUGUGGUGGAAAGAUGUUUUUCGGUAUGGGAUGAGCCCGCGGCCUAUCAGCUUGUUGGUGGGGUAAUGGCCUACCAAGGCGGCGACGGGUAGCCGGCCUGAGAGGGUGGACGGCCACAUUGGGACUGAGAUACGGCCCAGACUCCUACGGGAGGCAGCAGUGGGGAAUAUUGCACAAUGGGCGCAAGCCUGAUGCAACGACGCCGCGUGAGGGAUGACGGGCUUCGGGUUGUAAACCUCUUUCGCUAGGGACGAAGCCAUCGUUGUGGUGGUGACGGUACCUGGAUAAGAACACCGGCUAUACUACGUGCCAAGGAGCCGCGUUGAUACGAUCUCCGAUGCC